ACCAUUAUCGUGAGGUAGUGCUGAACACACAGAAGUUAGCCGAGGUCAUAGUAGUCGAAAGAUGAAGGG
rnacentral:ncRNA from 1 species